rnacentral:rRNA from 1 species
GACGAACGCUGGCGGCGUGCCUAAUACAUGCAAGUAGGACGCAGUUGCGAACGGGUGAGUAACGCGUAGGUAACUACCUAUUAGAGGGGGAUAACUAUUGGAAACGAUAGCUAAUACCGCAUACUAGUAGAUGGACCUGCGUUGUAUUAGCUAGUAGGUAGGGUAAUGGCCUACCUAGGCAACGAUACAUAGCCGACCGGGGAGGGUGAGCGGCCACACUGGGACUUGGACACGGCCCAGACCCCUACGGGGGGCAGCAGUGGGGAUUGUUCGGCAAUGGGGGGCACCCUGACCGGGCAACGCCGCGUGAGGGAGGAAGGUUUUCGGAUCGUAAAGCUCUGUUGUUAAGGAAGCGGUACUUAACCAGAAAGGGACGGCUAACUACGUGCCAGCAGCCGCGGUAAUUC